CCUACGGGAGGCAGCAGUGAGGAAUAUUGGUCAAUGGUCGGGAGACUGAACCAGCCAAGCCGCGUGCGGGAUGAAGGUACAGCGUAUCGUAAACCUCUUUUGGCAGGGAAUAAAGGCGGGGACGUGUGCCCGGAUGAGUGUACCUGAAGAGAAAGCAUCGGCUCACUCCGUGCGAGCAGCCGCGGUAUUACGGAGGAUGCGAGCGUUAUCCGGAUUUAUUGGGUUUAAAGGGUGCGUAGGCGGGAUGGUAAGUCAGCGGUAAAAAUGCGGUGCUCAACGCCGUCGAGCCGUUGAAAAUGGCGUUCUUGAGUGGGCGAGAAGUAUGCGGAAUGCGUGGUGUAGCGGUGAAAUGCAUAGAUAUCACGCAGAACUCCGAUUGCGAAGGUAGCAUACCGGCGCCCUACUGACGCUGAGGCACGAAAGCGUGGGUAUCGAACAGGAUUAGAUACCCGUGUAGUC
rnacentral:rRNA from 1 species